rnacentral:rRNA from 1 species
UACGUAGGGCGCAAGCGUUAUCCGGAAUUAUUGGGCGUAAGGAGCUCGUAGGCGGUUUGUCGCGUCUGCCGUGAAAGUCCGGGGCUCAACUCCGGAUCUGCGGUGGGUACAGGCAGACUAGAGUGAUGUAGGGGAGACUGGAAUUCCUGGUGUAGCGGUGAAAUGCGCAGAUAUCAGGAGGAACACCGAUGGCGAAGGCAGGUCUCUGGGCAUUAACUGACGCUGAGGAGCGAAAGCAUGGGGAGCGAACAGG